rnacentral:rRNA from 1 species
UACGGAGGGUGCAAACGUUGCUCGGAAUCAUUGGGCGUAAAGCGCACGUAGGCGGCUCGUUAAGUCGGAUGUGAAAGCCCUGGGCUCAACCCAGGAAGUGCAUUCGAAACUGGCGAGCUUGAAUAUGGAAGAGGGUCGCGGAAUUCCCGGUGUAGAGGUGAAAUUCGUAGAUAUCGGGAGGAACACCUGCGGCGAAGGCGGGUAGCUGGGCCGACACUGACGCUGGAGGCGACGAAAGCCAGGGGAGCGAACGGG